rnacentral:lncRNA from 1 species
CUUCUGUAAGCCCUUCAAUCACAUCACCCGAACGGAGUACGUUCUGCACCGACACUCCCAUUCCGGCCUCGUACCCUUUCGGACUCACAACAAUUCACUCUUCUCGACGACAUGUCAAUAAAAGAAAAAGAGGAAGCCUCGUUCAAAACAUGGAACCGAUACCACACAAAACGGUACCUUAUAAAGGCAAGGGCACCGCCGGAUCUCAACUGGAAGGAGGAAUAAAAUCUUUUUAAGAAAAGAUACUCCGAAAGUCAUAGUUAUCCAUUCAAAAACUCAAAAUCAAAGACGAAACAGAA